GCCGACGUAGUUCAGAGGUAGAAUUCUUGCUUUGGGUUUUCUAAGUUUGCAAGAGGUCUUGGGUUCAAUUCCCAACGUCGGCC
rnacentral:tRNA from 1 species